UUUCAUAAAUAAUUGGACUAAGUUUACAAAAGCUAUUUUGAAUAUUCAUGGAAGUUCAAUCAAAGAUAAAUAUGCCAAAUACUUAUUAUCUCAAUAUGAUGCUGCUCAAUUGAUGAAAGAUUAUAGGACUUGUAAUAUCCUGAAACUAUUACUAUUACCAUAUUUUAUCCCGACUAAGACUCAAAUUAAGGGUAAUAACAAAAAUAAAUCAUGGAAAUCAUCUCAUGAAGAGUCUGCUGCAGCAUUUGUAACUCAUAUUACUAAUUGAUCUAAUUUAGAAGAGGAUAUAACUAGGAGACGUUUGAAAUAUGCUGAAUAUGGGUCUACAAUACAGCCAUUUAUUAUAUUAGUGGGGAAUGAUAUAUCUUCCAUCAAUACAUGCUACAUUAGAGUAAAUGACCAGCUAUGGAAAAUACAAUGUCCUUUACGUGCUAUUAAUAUUUGUUUUAAGACAUAUUUUACUUUUAAUUGCUCACACCCAAGAGAAUGUUAUGAGACUUAGUUACUUUUACAAAAUCAUGUUUUUAAUUUGGUAACUGAUUUUGAUAA